rnacentral:tRNA from 1 species
GGGGCGUUAGUAAACAAAUUACGCAACCUUGUCAAGGUUGAAUAGCUGACUAACUCCCAGCACACCCCUCC